UUUUUUUUUUUUUUUUUUGGUUGCUACCUAUACAUUCCUAGAACAAAUCUGUCUGAGCAGAUCAACUCUUCAGUGUCCAGUGGCUUUGGCUGACAGAUCACAUCCAAAACGAACACUUACCCAGUGUGAGGAGGGGAGAGUGGGCAGUAGACUGACAUGAGCCAGCUCAUAGACCAUGUGCAAAUGAAUCAGCUUGCAGUCAAGCCCGCCUGCCCUCCCACUCUCCCAUCCUCUUCAACUUGCAGCCCAGCUGUCAGUGCUGCCCACCCCUCGCCUGCCAACCACAGAACAACACCAAGUGGCCUGGCCUAUUUUUUCUUCCUAUGUCCUAUGGAGUUGCCACCUCACCACCAUGCAAAGAACAGGCACCCUGGGUAUUCCAUGUCAUUAUUUUUCUAUUGGUCAUCUCAUGCUGCUCGUUUAAUUUUAGCAAUGUGCAUUGAAGAAUUGUCCAUUUAUGUUCUUAAAAGGUAAGAGAGUCCACUGGGCUUGCUCCCAUAUUUGAAUGUUCCUUUCCAGUAACAGUGUGAGCUGCCUGGUUUGAUGGAUUUUUGCAGCUGUGAUCUUUGACAUAUAAAAUGUGGUACCGAACCUUUAAAUCCUGGGUUAUUUGGGGGUAAAAAUAAAAAGCACCUUCCCAGGAGUUAUAUUUCUUGAUGAUUAAUGCUUAUAAAAACAACAUGGGCUAAGAUAUAGGAAACUAUCAGAUGACAAGGAUGUAGCUCUUCACACGUAUUGCAGGAAUUUCAUUUUUAUCCUACCUGCUCCCCCCCAAAUUCCUCCUCACUACCCCCUACUCCACCAAGGAAACCUUGCAGUGUAGAAAGGGGAGAAACCAGAAGGAUUCUUCCACAUUUCGGCUUAAAUGAUAAUCAUAUUUUCCUUCUUUUCCACGACAGCCUAUUCCCCCCACACACACACACACACAAAGAUGCUUUGCUUUCUUAAGACUUUGUGAGGGAAAUCAAGGAGGGUGGGUGAGUGGAAGAAGAGGAAGGAGGCUUAAGAGGGUAGAAUUGUGUAACCUGAUGCACCCCGUCUACUCCAAAGAGAGAACAGACAGCACUUCCAGAGAACACCCACUUCCUUUUGCUACAUUCCACUGAAUUUUUUAAAAAUAGAUUUUAUAUUUAGAGGCGUUUUAGGUUUACAGCAAACGGAACAGAAGGUACAGAAGUCUACCUCCUGUUCCCUGAUAUGUAGAAGAGCCCCCAUUAUCAACACCCCUCGGUAGAGGAGCACUGGUUACAAAUGGUGAAUCUGCAGUCACAUCAUUAUUAUCCCAAGUCCACUGUUCACUCUAGACAGAGUUCCCUCUGGGUGUUGGCCUUUCUAUGGCUUUUGAGAGACAUAUAAUGAUACGUGUCUACAAUCAUACUAUUGUAUGGAGUAGUUUUACUGCCUGUGGACUGAAGUUUGGCUCUUGCCAUCUCCAUGGAUUAAGUCAUGAGCCACUGCAGCUGCCGACCAGGAGUGAGGCUCUCUGUGCUCUGGGAAAACUGGAAGAACAGGUCUUCAGAGAGUCAGAUAUUUUUAGGAGAAGAGUUUAUGUGCCCAAUUCUUGCAUCUCCUCAUAUCUAGAAAAAGACUAAAAUCCUUUGUGGUCAUGUCUGCUCCUUACGGCUGGUAGUGACCUUCUGGAGAUCAGCAACCAACUUUGGUAAAAUGAGUGCCUGCUGCAUGCACCUCCCCCUCACCCUUAUCAUAUCUUGAUAGUCCCCCUUUCCUCUUUGGGAAUAUUUCAAGUAUCUGAAAACAGGCUGUAGUUAAGGAUCAAACAAAGACUGUCGCAGUCAUCUGUGAAUGUGGUCACCUCCAAGGGUGAGAGCCGUUGAGUCCCAAAGUUUGUGGAAACUCAGACUACUGGCCCAGAUAGUGGAGCAAAGGAUGAUUUCAGUGAGCCCAGACCUCUUUGGUCCCCGCUACCUGCCCUUGGUUGCAAAAACUCCUGUAUAUCGUAGCUCCUCCAGCACCAGCCUGGAGGGGAUUCUCAGGGCUGCCAGAGAUGCUGUCUCCCAGGCUUAAGUCCUAAUUUUGCCCCAAAGAAAACUUAACUCUCAACUUUCAGCCCUAAAACUCUUCCAGGCUCUGCCUGUUCACCCCCUCUCCUACACAACCCCUGGCAACCACGUGUUUUAUUUUCUGCACAUUUUACUUUUUCCAGAAUGUUAUAUGUUUAGAAUCAUAUGGUUUGUAGACGUUCCAGACUGACCUCUUUCACUUAGAAUCAUGCAUGUAUGUUUCUUCCGUGUCUUUUCAUGGCCUUCACACUAUAUUUUCAUUGAUUAUAGAUGUGGAUACUAACCAAAUCCAAAGGUGCAGUUAAAGCGAACAUAAGGUCCAGGGACUAGAUGACAUCAGUUUCCCAAGAAAGAACUAGAAAGAAAGCAGUAAAGCAGUAUCUUCCUUUGCCUUUAACACCAAUUUUGCCCCUAGUAAUUUUAAACAAAACAUCAAAAACAAAGUAUGGGAGGCUGUGGAGCCCAGUAAAAAGAGCCAGAGAGACCUGGCUGGAUUCCCAUUCCCAUGUACCUGUGAGAUUUGGGGCAAGUUCCUCAGGCUUUCUGAUCCUCAGUUUUCUUACCUAUAAAAAGAGACUGUUUCACGCAAUCCCAGCCCAGUGCCCUGCACACCACAAGCACUCACAAAAAUUAAUAAAGUAGGGAGUUCCCACUGUGGCACACUGGAAACGAAUCUGACUAGUAUCCAUGAGGUUGCUGGUUCGAUCCCUGGCCUCGCUCAGUGGUUGGGGAUCUGGCAUUGCCAUGAGCUGUGGUGUAGGUCGCAGAUGCAGCUCGGAUCCCAUGUUGCUGUGGCUGUGGUGUAGGCCAGCAGCUGUAGCUCCAAACUGACCCCUAGUCUGGGAACUUCCAUACGCCAUGGGUGCAGCCCUUAAAAGCAAAAAAGUAAUAUAAAGAAAAAAUUCGUAAAUAUCUUAAAGCAGAUUUGUGGCCAUAUAUAACGAUUAAUAAUUAGGCAUUCUCUCCCCAUGAACUUAAAACUGAAGAAAACGAACAUGUCCUCUGAACUAGAAAAAUGAUAUAUGAUGGUUGCAUUAACCUACCAAUUGUACAUAAUAGAUCUAUGGACUUUGGGAAAGCUCAAAACUGAAAUCAGAGUGAUGAUGAUAUGGCAAGCAAAAGCUGUUUCAGUUGAAUUGUACCAUGUCUAAAGAAGGACUAAAUGAACUGAAGGACGAUGGUCAGAUGGGGGGGAAAAAAAGACUCCAAUAUUCAGAGAUUAGCAGUCGUGUCCAGCCCACUUGGAAAGGGUGACAGGGAGUAUGGAGCCUGUGAGCUCCCCACAUAGAUUACCGUAUUGUAGAGCAGGUAUGCUUCAAUGGGCCUCCUCCCUGGCUUGGAGGAAAUAUACCUUCAAAUUAUUCCAGCUCCCUCUGCACUGAUCACAUGCUUGCCAAACAAUUUUCUGAUUAUUCCUUUAGCUUUUGGGUAUAUUGAUUCCAGAGGGGAAACAGUGUCCCGAAUAAUGAGUACGACCUUCCUGCUCCAGAAAAUAACAUGUCCUGUUGGACAUUUUUGUUGUUGAUCUGGGUUAUCUACGUCAACCUCUUUUCAGUUGGAUGGACACACUACUUCAAGUCCAAGGCGUACUGGGAACGUGAAGGAGUCAGAGAUAGUCUGAACCACAGUAAUUCACCACCUGACUGGUCUUUCUUGGUCAGUCCGUCUUCUCUGGGUGGCAUCUUACCUUCCUCUCACUACUUCUAAUGGUAACUUGUCUUCUAUUUAGCAUGUUUAAUUUCCACUUGAAAACAGAAGGAAUUUUUCAAAUGAAGACAAGGUUCUCACAGGAAACAAAAGGAAGGAAAUGACCCUUUAGGUCAAUAGAAUAGGGAAGAAAUUCUUCCAAUUUUUCGGUUAUUUUCAUAGGGAUGGGACAAUAAUUCUCAAAGCAAAAAUUCUCAAAAUGUAACAGAUUUUAAAACAAGAAGAUAAGAGAUAGGUCACAAAAUGAACGACAGAGAAAGCGGUUCUCAGAGAUGGGGAUAAUACUUCCCAAAGCAAAAUAAAACAUAAAUAUUUUAAAAACAAGAAAGUAAAAUAUGUGCCCCCCAAAAAAAGAAAUACACAGAGAAUUCUGUUUUGAGAAAGGGUUAUUAUGAAACAAAAAUGAAGAUCUCUGUUAUAGUGCUUGCCAAUGAGAAAUUUACAGAAUAUAAGAUAAAUGGCCUUGAAAGCGGAACCAAAUUGAAUCCAUUUUAGUGGACUAUUCAAGAUAGAGAACCAUCUCUCAGGCCCUUUGGAAAAUAAUGGAAUUCAAGUGCAGUACUAAUCCAAUAACAAUUUUCAAGAGUCAAUAUCAGUUAUUUAGUGUGGUGAUAGCCGCAAAGCCAUUACUGUUGACUCCACUUCCAAUGCUCAGAAGUACUGCUUUGCUAUUAAACUAUGGCUUUAGGGGAUAUUUAGACCUCUUCCCCCUAAGCAUCCCUGGUAAUUUAUUCCAGCUGGAAGAUUUGCAUCAAGGAUAAUUUAAAAUCUUCAGGCUCUCUUCUCUCCUGGUGCAGAAGUAUAACUCCCAUUAGCACUAAUGAAAGCUCUCUCUACAUCUCAAGCAGUGGACCGCUCAUAAGUGUUUAAGAACCAAAAUGUUUCAUGUCCUGUGAGAGAAGCCGCAUGAAAGAGAAUCUGGAUACCAUUUAACAAGGUUAAAACGCAAAGUGUGAAUUGUUUUCCAGAUGACAGUACUCCUUAAAAAGUAUGUCAUGUUUCUGUAAAAAGAAAAAAACAAAAACAAAAAAACCCAACAGGGUUCUCACAGAUGCACUAGGAAAAAAAGGAUUCCCAACCAACUUUGAACCUACACAAAGAAUAAGAAAUACUUCUAUUUUUAAAAACUAAGUUUGAAGUUUGAGAUUGCUGUUCUUGCCUUUUCUUUUUUCUUUUUUGUUUUGUUUUGUUUUGUUUCAGAAGAGAGGGAUAUUCGUGCUCUAAGAGUACAAUACUUUAUCUAUGGGAUAUCCGUUUUGCUUAGGUCAGAAGCUCACCAAAUGUUGUGCCAGCCCUAUACCUCCUUUAGCUAGAUUAUUAGGAGGUUAGAGAAAAUUGUUUUGUAAAUUUGUGACUAAAUGUCUGUCAUUUCCCGUCUCCAUGGCACUCAACUGCUGAUGGAUUCUUGUUUUCCUGGCCAGUGUGCUGCUGAAUUUCUCCACUAAAGAACCCUCAACACUCUGAGAAACCUGAAGCCAUUUCUCCCUAAGGCAUGAGCAACCUUGGAGGUGUCUCCUGCAGGUUCAGCUGGUGAGCUUGCCUGGAUGACCAGAACCUCAGGACUCUGCAAGAAUAAAUCUCUUCCAAGCCCUCCAAGCCCUUAAUGAAACAAAGGGGAUAUUCAGUGUUUGCUGAAAAACAGAAACAAUCCUGAGAAAAAUAAAGGAUUUCGUCAUAUUUUGGAAUCAAAUGGCUGUUCAAAAAACUGGGAUGGUCUCCAAGUUUUGAUGUGGGGAAAAAUUUGGUUAUCACAACACUUUUCUCACUGAGUCUAUACAGGCACCAAACAUUGACAUAAAGCGACAUCAUUGCUGAUUAAACACUAUUAGCAUAUUCAGUUGGAAACACAAAUGUAAACACAGAUUUCCAAUGUCUGCAUCACGUACAACUGCAGCAUUCAUCCCUGUGUGGGAUGUACACAGAGUACACAGAGACGGAAGAAGAGCUAGCGUGCACAUCAAAGGAUGUGUACACGAAUACUUAAAGUGGCUUAGGAGGUCUUAUUUAUCGUGUAAAAAAACUGGUUAAGUUCUCUUAUAUUUUUUCCCUUAUAGUUUGUAGCUAUUACAUACUUGCGAUCUUGCCAAGUGGGAGGUGGCUGGGAGCAUAUGUUUAAUAAAAGUGUUUGUGGGCAUGCACGCUCAUGCGUGCGCGCACGCGCACACACACACACACCAUUAAAGCAAGGCUGUGGUUUCUUCUUAAACUGACAGAUGCAAGGCACGUUGGGAAUGGAGGCCAUCCUCUUUUUUAACUCUCGACAUUAUGUUCAGGCACUUGGAGUCAGAGUACAUGAGAGCAAAGGGAAAUAAGCAAGCCUUAUG
rnacentral:lncRNA from 1 species